rnacentral:lncRNA from 1 species
AUGCCCACAACCCACAGCUCACCAACCCCAUCUGCGAGCCAUAGGGGCGCACAUGCGUAUCAGAAUGGCCCGGGCGUGUGGCUGCGCAUGCGCAGAGGUAGACGCGAGAGUCACGAGGGACCUGUUUGUCGCCCCGCCUCUCGGGGGAGUUCGUCGGCGCCUUGCUUUCGGAGCAUGCGCCCGCAGGGUCGCGAGAGAGGGUCCGGAAGCGCUCGUGCUGGUCCAACCGUAGUGGGGGGAGGACGAGGGGGCGGGCCCGGCGCAGGCGCGGGUCAGCCUCGUCUCAGAGCGCUGUGGGGGGCGGCGGAGGACGCCAUCUUGGUGGUGCUGUGCCGGGGACUGCGGGCCUCGGGGCUCGGCGCGGAGCCUGUCCUGGUGGCGUGUCCGUUAAGUUGAUUUUACAGAAUUUAUCAGGUCUUCAAAGCAGAAACAGGUGAUUUU